CACACCGUAAACGAUGAACACUAGAUGUCGGGGGAGUUGUCCUUCGGUGUCGACGCAAACGCAAUAAGUGUUCCGCCUGGGGAGUACGCUCGCAAGGGUGAAACUCAAAGGAAUUGACGGGGGCCCGCACAAGCGGUGGAGCAUGUGGUUUAAUUCGAUGCAACGCGCAGAACCUUACCUGGACUUGACAUGGGAAUGACCGCACGAGAGAUCGUGCUUUCUCUUCGGAGACAUUCCGCACAGGUGC
rnacentral:rRNA from 1 species